rnacentral:rRNA from 1 species
UACGUAGGUGACAAGCGUUGUCCGGAUUUACUGGGCGUAAAGAGCGCGCAGGCGGUCGAUCAAGUCGAGUGUGAAAGCCCCCGGCUCAACUGGGGAGGGUCAUUCGAUACUGAUCGACUCGAAGGCAGGAGAGGGUAGUGGAAUUCCCGGUGUAGUGGUGAAAUGCGUAGAUAUCGGGAGGAACACCAGUGGCGAAGGCGGGUCUCUGGGCAGUAACUGACGCUGAGGAGCGAAAACGUGGGGAGCGAACAGG